UCUCACCUUCAGUUCAAGUCCUCAGAACACUCCAAGGUCUUAGCCUCAUGAUUCCGAUGUCCCUGCCCCGAGGCUGGCCCUCACGGCUGCAGCCUAGAUGUUCGGUGCAGGAAGACAUGGGCUUUUCUCUUAUCCCACACCCAGCCUGCAUCAAGCCUUUAAGGCCACUGUGAUCAAGACCCUAGAGGCACAAAGGGUGGUGCUAAAGAGACUUGAGCUGGGAAUCAGCACACCUGGCUUGAAAUCUUAAAUAUGUAACCUCAGACAAGUCUCUCCACCUCUCUGAGCCUCUCUGUUUCUGUAUUAGUUCUCGACUACUGCAUUUUAAAAUCACCUCAAAAGUUAAAGGCUUAAAACAACACACAGUUACUAUCUUACCAUGUCUGUGGGUCAGGAAUCCAGGCAUGGCUUCCCUGAGUCCUUGGCCCAGGUUCUGUCACUAGGCUGCAAUCAAGCUGUCAGCCUGGGACAUGGUCUUAUCUGAAGGCUCAACUGGGAAAGGGAUCCACGUCAAAGCUCACUCCUGUGGUUUUUGGCAGGAUUCGGGACCCAGGAUUUGGGUCCCUUCGGGUACCUGUCGGACUAAGGGCCUCGCUUUCUUGCUGAUGAUUGGCAGGACAUGCCCUCAGUUCCUUGCCACAUGGGUCUCUCCUGCUUGCUUUGUUGGAGCAGCCACAGCAGAAAAGCCAGAGAGACUGUGCCAGAGGAGCGUCACUUACAUGAUCAGGUUAUAAAGGAAAUCAGUCUUUAUGACUUUAUCAUAGAAGUGACAUCUCAUAACUUCUGCCAUCUUCAAUUUGUUAGGAGCAAGUCACCAGGCCCAGCCCACACUCAAGCAAGGGGAAUUAUAUAAGGCACACACAAGGAGAGGGGGUCAUUCAGGGCCAUGUCAGAAGAAGCUGCCAGAAGCUGCCCACCCAUUUCCUUCUCCAUCAAACACAGACAAUACAAAGAUUGUUGCAGAAUUGCAUGAGGUGGCGUACGUACACUGCUUAACACAGUGCCCGUAUGUUAUAAAUAUUCAAUAAAUGGUUCUCUGACUUCUCUAGAGCAGUGUUUUUCUCAACCUUCUUUCAUGAUCACCCCCACCCUAAAAUGCCUUUUAGAUGGGUUUUGUCAAUUGACCCUCUCUCCCUCAUGAAAUCUUUUUUUUAAUUUUUUAUUUUAAUUUUUGUGGGUCCAUAGUAGGCAUAUAUAUUUAGGGGGUACAUGAGAUGUUUUGAUACAGGCAUGCAAUGCAUUAGAAACACAUCAUGGAGAAUGGACUAUCCAGCCCCUCAAGUAUUUACCCUUUGUGUUACAACCAAUCCAAUUAUAAUCUUUGAGUUAUUUUUUGUAUACAAUUACUUUAUUACUGACUAUUAUUGACUGCUGUGUUAGCAAAUACAAGGUCUUAUUUUUUCUAUUUUCUAACUUUCUAACUAUGUAUGCA
rnacentral:lncRNA from 10 species